GACGAACGCUGGCGGCGUGCCUAAUACAUGCAAGUUGAGCGCUGAAGGUUGGUACUUGUACCAACUGGAUGAGCAGCGAACGGGUGAGUAACGCGUGGGGAAUCUGCCUCUGAGCGGGGGACAACAUUUGGAAACGAAUGCUAAUACCGCAUAAAAACUUUAAACACAAGUUUUAAGUUUGAAAGAUGCAAUUGCAUCACUCAAAGAUGAUCCCGCGUUGUAUUGGCUAGUUGGUGAGGUAAAGGCUCACCAAGGCGAUGAUACAUAGCCGACCUGAGAGGGUGAUCGGCCACAUUGGGACUGAGACACGGCCCAAACUCCUACGGGAGGCAGCAGUAGGGAAUCUUCGGCAAUGGACGAAAGUCUGACCGAGCAACGCCGCGUGAGGGAAGAAGGUUUUCGGAUCGUAAAACUCUGUUGGUAGAGAAGAACGUUGGUGAGAGUGGAAAGCUCAUCAAGUGACGGUAACUACCCAGAAAGGGACGGCUAACUACGUG
rnacentral:rRNA from 1 species